CUCAUAGCGGAGGAGCCUGAUGUGGGUCUCCAUAACGGCGGGAUCACGCCCUGAGCCGAAGAGCUACCAACUCACACAGAAGUGGUGGGGGAGCUUGCCUGCAGUGGGUCCUUCCCGGCAACCCUCCUCUCCCACUCGGAACUCUAGUUGAGGAGCUGCCCCUGGCAAGCUGUGCUUAGUUCUCCUCCUUCCUCUUGGUCAUCAGUAUUUCCCUCCCUGAUCCCAAACAUGCCAGUCCCCACCUUCACAAUCAGUACCUGGGCAUGGAUAGUUCUAGGGUCAGAAUAUUGGAGCUGGGAAGGACUCCAGGAGAUCGAGGACACUGAAAAUCUCAUAGACAAAAGAAUCCUGUUCUUGAGGUGAAAUAGCUAGACUGCGGGCAGAGCUGUCAGUGAAACGGACUCUGAGCCAGGACUUUUUCUACCCUGCUAGCUCUGUUUACCACACUAUGAGAUCAAGUUUUUGCCUCUCUGCUUACUUCCACAAUAUGUUGAGAAAGGGUGCUUCUCCCCUUCUCUGAUGGGGAUGAUGUUGUGGUGAUCAUGAUAAUAUUUGAGGUUUUUUUUUUCCCCCAGUCGUAGGCAUUUAAUCAUAGUAUUUCAUUGAAUUGUUAUACUAACCAACAAGGUAGCUCUUACUCAUUACUAAGGUUUGUCCACUAGCUUUUCAUGCUGCUAACUAUUUUAGUCUCCCUAAAAAUACCCCAAGAACGACAGGAUUCAUUUCAAAAUAAGUUACAGUAAUUUGCAAAGAGAGAGUUCGGGAAGUACGUAUCUGCACUUCUCAAAGCUGACAACUCUUUACUUCUUGUUUCCAAGGGGUGGGAAGAUACUGCAAUUGGGGAGGCAACCUGUCUAUUUCUGGUAGUGAUCCAACAUACAUAGCCUUCAGAGACUUCCUAAGUUUCCUCCUUCCUUUUCUCUAAAUCCCAGCAUGUUUUCCAACUGCAUUUAUUUUACUGCUUUGAGGAGGCUGGGAUAUCUGGGAGUGUGUUUCCUUUAAGGAAGGAUGAAGUAAGAAUAUAAUGCAAAUACUCAGAGGUAUUUCCUUUAUUUUUACAUUUGGAAAUGGUUACAUUUGAUAUGAUUAAUUUGGAAAGAGGUGGUAAUUCAUUGGCAUAUGUGGGAAUAUAAAAAUUACUACCAUCUUUGAGCACUAACUAUGGGCCAGACAUGGUGUAAGGUAUGUUACCAUAUCUAUCAUUCUCCCAGUAGAUGUAGAGAUAGGCAUUAUUAUUUGAAUUUCUCAAAAGAAGAAACCUGAAUCUCUGAGAGGUUAAGGAAUUUUCCCAAGGUCACAUAGGAAGUGGAAAUGUUGAGUAUGGGACUCAGGAUAAUCCAACUUGAAAAUCCAUGUACUUUCCAUAUGUUACUAUUAAAAAUUUUUUGUUUAGGAAA